GAUGAACGCUGGCGGCGUGCCUAAUACAUGCAAGUCGAGCGAACGGACGAGAAGCUUGCUUCUCUGAUGUUAGCGGCGGACGGGUGAGUAACACGUGGAUAACCUACCUAUAAGACUGGGAUAACUUCGGGAAACCGGAGCUAAUACCGGAUAAUAUUUUGAACCGCAUGGUUCAAAAGUGAAAGACGGUCUUGCUGUCACUUAUAGAUGGAUCCGCGCUGCAUUAGCUAGUUGGUAAGGUAACGGCUUACCAAGGCAACGAUGCAUAGCCGACCUGAGAGGGUGAUCGGCCACACUGGAACUGAGACACAGUCCAGACUCCUACGGGAGGCAGCAGUAGGGAAUCUUCCGCAAUGGGCGAAAGCCUGACGGAGCAACGCCGCGUGAGUGAUGAAGGUCUUCGGAUCGUAAAACUCUGUUAUUAGGGAAGAACAUAUGUGUAAGUAACUGUGCACAUCUUGACGGUACCUAAUCAGAAAGCCACGGCUAACUACGUG
rnacentral:rRNA from 1 species